rnacentral:rRNA from 1 species
GACGAACGCUGGCGGCGUGCCUAAUACAUGCAAGUCGAGCGCAGGAAACCGUCUGAACCCUUCGGGGGGACGACGGUGGAAUGAGCGGCGGACGGGUGAGUAACACGUAAAGAACCUGCCCACGGGUCUGGGAUAACCACGAGAAAUCGGGGCUAAUACCGGACGGGUCAUCGGACCGCAUGGUCCGAGGAUGAAAGGCGCUCCGGCGUCGCCUGUGGAUGGCUUUGCGGUGCAUUAGCUAGUUGGUGGGGUAACGGCCCACCAAGGCGACGAUGCAUAGCCGACCUGAGAGGGUGAUCGGCCACACUGGGACUGAGACACGGCCCAGACUCCUACGGGAGGCAGCAGUAGGGAAUCUUCCACAAUGGAUGAAAGUCUGAUGGAGCAACGCCGCGUGAACUAUGAAGGCCCUCGGGUCGUAAAGUUCUGUUGUAAGGGAAGAACAAGUGCCGCAGGCAAUGGCGGCACCUUGACGGUACCUUGCGAGAAAGCCACGGCUAACUACGUGCCAGCAGCCGCAGUAAGAC